rnacentral:Y_RNA from 1 species
UGCUGGUCUGAGAGCAGUGCUGUUUACAACCAAUUGAUCACAACCAGUUACAGAUUCCUUUGUUCCUUCUCCACUCCCACUGUUUCACUUGACCUCAAAAA